rnacentral:tRNA from 1 species
CUGAGGGUAGCACAGUGGAUAGAGCACCAGACUUGUAGUCAGGAAGACCUGAGUUCAAAUCUGACCUCAGA